rnacentral:rRNA from 1 species
UACGAAGGGUGCAAACGUUGCUCGGAAUUAUUGGGCGUAAAGCGCACGUAGGCGGCUCUGCAAGUCGGAUGUGAAAUCCCUCGGCUCAACCAAGGAAGUGCAUCCGAAACUGCGGAGCUUGAGUACUUAAGAGGAUCGCGGAAUUCCCGGUGUAGAGGUGAAAUUCGUAGAUAUCGGGAGGAACACCAGUGGCGAAGGCGGCGAUCUGGGAAGAUACUGACGCUGAGGUGCGAAAGCGUGGGGAGCAAACGGG